AUAUAAACGUAACCAGAACGGAUUACAGAGAGAAAAUAAGAAUGUGAUA
rnacentral:guide_RNA from 1 species